AGUGAACGCUGGCGGUAGGCCUAACACAUGCAAGUCGAACGGCAGCACAGUAAGAGCUUGCUCUUACGGGUGGCGAGUGGCGGGCGGGUGAGGAAUACAUCGGAAUCUACUUUUUCGUGGGGGAUAACGUAGGGAAACUUACGCUGAUACCGCAUACGACCUACGGGUGAAAGCAGGGAAUCUUCGGACCUUGCGCGAUUGAAUGAGCCGAUGUCGGAUUAGCUAGUUGGCGGGGUAAAGGCCCACCAAGGCGACGAUCCGUAGCUGGUCUGAGAGGAUGAUCAGCCACACUGGAACUGAGACACGGUCCAGACUCCUACGGGAGGCAGCAGUGGGGAAUAUUGGACAAUGGGCGCAAGCCUGAUCCAGCCAUACCGCGUGGGUGAAGAAGGCCUUCGGGUUGUAAAGCCCUUUUGUUGGGAAAGAAAAGCAGCAGGUUAAUACCCCGCUGUUCUGACGGUACCCAAAGAAUAAGCACCGGCUAACUUCGUG
rnacentral:rRNA from 1 species